rnacentral:rRNA from 1 species
GUGACUGCGUACCUUUUGUAUAAUGGGUCAGCGACUUAUAUUCUGUAGCAAGGUUAACCGUAUAGGGGAGCCGAAGGGAAACCGAGUCUUAACUGGGCGUUAAGUUGCAGGGUAUAGACCCGAAACCCGGUGAUCUAGCCAUGGGCAGGUUGAAGGUUGGGUAACACUAACUGGAGGACCGAACCGACUAAUGUUGAAAAAUUAGCGGAUGACCUGUGGCUGGGGGUGAAAGGCCAAUCAAACCGGGAGAUAGCUGGUUCUCCCCGAAAGCUAUUUAGGUAGCGCCUCGUGAACUCAUCUUCGGGGGUAGAGCACUGUUUCGGCUAGGGGGCCAUCCCGGCUUACCAACCCGAUGCAAACUACGAAUACCGAAGAAUGUUAUCACGGGAGACACACGGCGGGUGCUAACGUCCGUCGUGAAGAGGGAAACAACCCAGACCGCCAGCUAAGGUCCCAAAGUCAUGGUUAAGUGGGAAACGAUGUGGGAAGGCACAGACAGCCAGGAUGUUGGCUUAGAAGCAGCCAUCAUUUAAAGAAAGCGUAAUAGCUCACUGGUCGAGUCGGCCUGCGCGGAAGAUGUAACGGGGCUAAACCAUGCACCGAAGCUGCGGCAGCGACGCUUAUGUGUUGUUGGGUAGGGGAGCGUUCUGUAAGCCGUUGAAGGUGUGCUGUGAGGCAUGCUGGAGGUAUCAGAAGUGCGAAUGCUGACAUAAGUAACGAUAAAGCGGGUGAAAAGCCCGCUCGCCGGAAGACCAAGGGUUCCUGUCCAACGUUAAUCGGGGCAGGGUGAGUCGACCCCUAAGGCGAGGCCGAAAGGCGUAGUCGAUGGGAAACAGGUUAAUAUUCCUGUACUUGGUGUUACUGCGAAGGGGGGACGGAGAAGGCUAUGUCAGCCGGGCGACGGUUGUCCCGGUUUAAGCAUGUAGGCGGAGGUUCCAGGUAAAUCCGGUACCUUAUUAACGCUGAGGUGUGAUGACGAGGCACUACGGUGCUGAAGUGAUAAAUGCCCUGCUUCCAGGAAAAGCCUCUAAGCAUCAGGUAACACGAAAUCGUACCCCAAACCGACACAGGUGGUCAGGUAGAGAAUACCAAGGCGCUUGAGAGAACUCGGGUGAAGGAACUAGGCAAAAUGGUGCCGUAACUUCGGGAGAAGGCACGCUGAUAUGUAGGUGAAGCCCCUGCGGGCGGAGCUGAAAUCAGUCGAAGAUACCAGCUGGCUGCAACUGUUUAUUAAAAACACAGCACUGUGCAAACACGAAAGUGGACGUAUACGGUGUGACGCCUGCCCGGUGCCGGAAGGUUAAUUGAUGGGGUUAGCGGCAACGCGAAGCUCUUGAUCGAAGCCCCGGUAAACGGCGGCCGUAACUAUAACGGUCCUAAGGUAGCGAAAUUCCUUGUCGGGUAAGUUCCGACCUGCACGAAUGGCGUAAUGAUGGCCAGGCUGUCUCCACCCGAGACUCAGUGAAAUUGAACUCGCUGUGAAGAUGCAGUGUACCCGCGGCAAGACGGAAAGACCCCGUGAACCUUUACUAUAGCUUGACACUGAACACUGGUCCUUGAUGUGUAGGAUAGGUGGGAGGCUUUGAAGCGUGGACGCCAGUCUGCGUGGAGCCAUCCUUGAAAUACCACCCUUUAAUGGCUGGUGUUCUAACGUAGACCCGUGAUCCGGGUUGCGGACAGUGUCUGGUGGGUAGUUUGACUGGGGCGGUCUCCUCCCAAAGAGUAACGGAGGAGCACGAAGGUUGGCUAAUCCUGGUCGGACAUCAGGAGGUUAGUGCAAUGGCAUAAGCCAGCUUGACUGCGAGCGUGACGGCGCGAGCAGGUGCGAAAGCAGGUCAUAGUGAUCCGGUGGUUCUGAAUGGAAGGGCCAUCGCUCAACGGAUAAAAGGUACUCCGGGGAUAACAGGCUGAUACCGCCCAAGAGUUCAUAUCGACGGCGGUGUUUGGCACCUCGAUGUCGGCUCAUCACAUCCUGGGGCUGAAGUAGGUCCCAAGGGUAUGGCUGUUCGCCAUUUAAAGUGGUACGCGAGCUGGGUUUAGAACGUCGUGAGACAGUUCGGUCCCUAUCUGCCGUGGGCGCUGGAGAAUUGAGGGGGGCUGCUCCUAGUACGAGAGGACCGGAGUGGACGCAUCACUGGUGUUCGGGUUGUCAUGCCAAUGGCACUGCCCGGUAGCUAAAUGCGGAAGAGAUAAGUGCUGAAAGCAUCUAAGCACGAAACUUGCCCCGAGAUGAGUUCUCCCUGAGACCUUGAGUCUCCUGAAGGAACGUUGAAGACGACGACGUUGAUAGGUCGGGUGUGUAAGCGCAGCGAUGCGUUGAGCUAACCGAUACUAAUGAACCGUGAGGCUUAACCUU